UCGAGAAUCUUCCGCAAUGGACGAAAGUCUGACGGAGCGACGCCGCGUGAAGGAUGAAGUAUUUCGGUAUGUAAACUUCGAAAGAAUAGGAAGAAUAAAUGACGGUACUAUUUAUAAGGUCCGGCUAACUACGUGCCAGCAGCCGCGGUAAUACGUAGGGACCAAGCGUUGUUCGGAUUUACUGGGCGUAAAGGGCGCGUAGGCGGCGCGGUAAGUCACUUGUGAAAUCUCUGAGCUUAACUCAGAACGGCCAAGUGAUACUGCAGUGCUAGAGUGCAGAAGGGGCAAUCGGAAUUCUUGGUGUAGCGGUGAAAUGCGUAGAUAUCAAGAGGAACACCUGAGGUGAAGACGGGUUGCUGGGCUGACACUGACGCUGAGGCGCGAAAGCCAGGGGAGCAAACGGGAUUAGAUACCCCCGUAGUCCCUGAGCGGGCUGGCAAG
rnacentral:rRNA from 1 species